AACGGUAGCACAGAGAGCUUGCUCUCGGGUGACGAGUGGCGGACGGGAGAGUAAUGUCUGGGAAACUGCCUGAUGGAGGGGGAUAACUACUGGAAACGGUAGCUAAUACCGCAUAACGUCGCAAGACCAAAGAGGGGGACCUUCGGGCCUCUUGCCAUCAGAUGUGCCCAGAUGGGAUUAGCUAGUAGGUGGGGUAACGGCUCACCUAGGCGACGAUCCCUAGCUGGUCUGAGAGGAUGACCAGCCACACUGGAACUGAGACACGGUCCAGACUCCUACGGGAGGCAGCAGUGGGGAAUAUUGCACAAUGGGCGCAAGCCUGAUGCAGCCAUGCCGCGUGUAUGAAGAAGGCCUUCGGGUUGUAAAGUACUUUCAGCGGGGAGGAAGGUGUUGUGGUUAAUAACCACAGCAAUUGACGUUACCCGCAGAAGAAGCACCGGCUAACUCCGUGCCAGCAGCCGCGGUAAUACGGAGGGUGCAAGCGUUAAUCGGAAUUACUGGGCGUAAAGCGCACGCAGGCGGUCUGUCAAGUCGGAUGUGAAAUCCCCGGGCUCAACCUGGGAACUGC
rnacentral:rRNA from 2 species